GUCCCUAAAGUGCAAUGGAUAGUGCAUUGGACUUCUAAUCCAAGGAUUGUAGGUUUGAAUCCUACCUGGGAUG